rnacentral:rRNA from 1 species
UCCCUUAGUAACGGCGAGUGAAGAGGGAUGAGCCCAGCACCGAAGCCUGCGGCAGUUUUGCUGUUAGGCAAUGUGGUGUUCGGGUCGGCUAGCGGGACCGUAACUCCACUCGAAGUCCAGCAUUGAGUAUGGUUAUCAUUGGAUUUGGCCCAUAGAGGGUGAGAGGCCCGUACGGGUGGAGGUUCAGACAUGUGAGACGGUUCACCAGGCCGGCCUUAGAGUCGGGUUGUUUGAGAUUGCAGCCCAAAGUGGGUGGUAAACUCCAUCCAAGGCUAAAUACGGGCACGAGUCCGAUAGCGAACAAGUACCGUGAGGGAAAGUUGAAAAGUACUCUGAAGAGAGAGUAAAUAGUACGUGAAACCGCAUGCAGGUAAACGGGUGGCGUCAAACCGCGAGCCCGGAGGAUUCAGCUGGUUGGGUUGUUUUAUGGCCAGAAUAAGAUUUAGUGGUCCGCUCUCUCCUUGUGAGAGUGGAGCGAGGUACGGGGUGUGUGUAUGGCGCUUGCUAUUACACGCCUCCUCUGAGCUAUACGUGCCGGGUGGGUGCCGGAGUAUGCCACUAAUCUGUAGGGCCGCCUAGUCAGUGCAUUUUCUCCGUGGUGAACAUCACGACCGAUGGUAUUGCCAGUCCAUCGUGGUCAAGUCGUGUUCAUCUGACUGUUAAUUAUUUGUUAAUGGUUAGGUGGGCGUGAUCGCAGGUGGAGCGAGUAAACGGCGUAGUGGUGCUUCGGUAUUGCUACGUGUUAUCGUGUACUCACCGCCAACGAGUCGCUGUGUAGUAAUGUGACUAGACUGCUAGCGUCUUGGCGGACUGCGGUGGUAAAAAUGACUGUGCAAGGCAUCGGAUUUAUCCACCUCACACGUAUGUAUAUAUCAGCAAUGGUAUGUAUAUAUGUGAAUGUAUCCGGCAGGCAUUUCACAUAUGCCACAUUAUGGAGACGCGUUGCCGUGUGUAUGCAUUAUGCGUGAUUGUCGUUUUGCCUACAAAAAGUAGGUGCGGCAGUGGUGUAGUGCAUUAUUUAAAAAUGCGCGGUAUUACGCUGUUUCUGGUGCAUGUGAUACUGUGGGUGAAAUAGUCAGUGGUGCUGUGGUAGACGAGCUACCCGACCCGUCUCGAAACACGGACCAAGGAGUUUAACAUGUGUGCGAGUCAAAGGGCUUUACGAAACCCCAAGGCGUAGUGAAAGUAAAAGUUGUAUUGCAUUUAUUUGUAAUACAAUGAGGUGAGAUCCUAUUGUGUAUGUGUGUGUAUGCAUGUACAUAGGCGCAUCACCGGCCCGUCCCAUGAUGUGGUCAUUGGCAUUGAUAUGGGUGUACACUUCGGUGUAUUACUAGUGUCAGCUAAUG